rnacentral:rRNA from 1 species
UACGAAGGGGGCUAGCGUUGUUCGGAAUCACUGGGCGUAAAGCGUAUGUAGGCGGAUCAAAAAGUUAGGCGUGCAAGCCCGUGGCUCAACCACGGAAUUGCGUUUGAAACUGCUUAGCUUGAGUACAGGAGAGGAAAGCGGAAUUCCCAGUGUAGCGGUGAAAUGCAUUGAUAUUGGGAAGAACAUCUGUGGCGAAGGCGGCUUUCUGGUCUAUUACUGACGCUGAGAUACGAAAGCCAGGGGAGCGAACGGG